rnacentral:lncRNA from 1 species
CAAUGUUCCAGGCCUAUGGCUGCUGCUUCUCUUCUCAGCUUGAGAACUAAAGGCAUACCACAGCCUAGAAUCUUUUGGUGUGCUGACAAUUGGCUUCCCAAGUCUCAACUUUCUCCACUAUGAAACAGGUCUUCAGAGGGAUGUUGAGAAGAAUGUUCUAGAAGAACCAGGUGCCAGCACAUGAGGACCAGCCAGUCCCAGAGGGCAGGGGUCAUUGUCGGAGAAGACCACACCUACUUCCCCUUCUGCCUGCUGGACUUUGAAUCCAACUGGAGACUGACCUUUGGAAAUGGAAGGACCACGUUGACCCCUUCAGCAAGAAAUUCCACGUGCAGUUAGAAAACACUGGUAAGUUUAGGACCAUCUGGAAAAGUCUUGAAGUAACCAAAUGCCUGCCAACAAG